rnacentral:lncRNA from 1 species
UUUGGACUAAAAUCAAUCAGUCCAGUAUCACAUAUCCAUCUUCAAUUUAUGAUCUUCUAACUCCUUCAUACUAAGGGUUUUAGUAAAUAGAUCAGUCAGGUUCUCCUUUCCAUCGAUCUCUAAAGCUCGACAUCACCUCGAUCCACGAUCUCUCAGAUCAAGUCAUAGCAGUGUAGUAUGUGCUUGGUGUGCUGAUGGGACUUCUAUUCUUUCGUUUGAGCAAUGACAUCAGUGCUGUCAUAGAAUUACAAGAUCGGACC